UGGUAUAAAGUGUUAAUCCUCCCCUAUUGAAAUCAAUGGGAUGCCUGCCACUGACUUCAAUAGGAGUAGGAUGACACUAUAUGAUG
ensembl:miRNA aca-mir-1677a aca-mir-1677a